UUUUUCAAGAAAAGCCCAUCUAGUAUGGUUGAAAUCCAAGUCCAAGAUCUAAUUUUAGUAAAUCCACAACUCGAGUAAAAUCAACCUUUGUUACGACCAAAAACAAAUUAUUAAGAGUUAAAGCAAAAUAGACCCCUUAGGCUAGUGGAAAAAUCAUUCCUUGGAGUUGCUUCCUUUUCCCUCAUUUAGAAUUCUCUCUUGGGAAAAUCAUUUGAUCCACAGGCCUCUUCUCUCUCUCUCUCUCUCUAUCUCGCGACUCUCUCUCUCUUCUCUCUGGAAAAAAACUCAAACCUUCUUCUUGAAAAUCAAAUGGUAAGGAGCACUUUUUGAAGAACGAGGUUCGUGGUUGACUUGAAGAUCUUCAUCACGUUCUUGCUUUUGUUGAUUAUCUUCUUGUGUUUUUUAUAAGAGGGAUAUUAUGGUAAGAAGAGUAGUGGCAAGCGCAAAGAGAAACAAACAAUCCCAUAAACAAAGAGGCUCGCACGAUCUGGAUGUUGAGCGUUCCAUUGUUGAGACACCGAUAUCAUAGUCUUUGUCUUCGUCCUAUACUCAGCAAGAUGGAUGCCAUGAAGACAAACUACAUAAAAUACUUCUCAAGGACCGAACACAACAGAGAAAGGAAAUGUGAAAACAAAAACAUCAAGGAUGAUCGAAGGCGCACAACGACGAACGAACAUAAAACAACAUGACCACAGACGUGCUGGAAGGAGGGACUGCAUGAACCUGCUCGCCCUCGCAACCAGGGACGGACCCACGUUGGAAGGGAUGGGGUCAAAUGCCUCCACGUCAUUUUCACUUUUGUUGCAUACCAUACUGUUUUUUCUUGGUCAACUUCCAUACUUUACUAUGUAAAAUACUACAAUGCCCCCACCUACUUAAUGAGUGCCCCCAUACUUUUACAGUUUUACCUUUUGUGCCAUUAAAGAUGAACUUUUGUUACGUCUGAUCCACAUUUUGCUUUAGUUUUCCAUUGAACAAAACUAAUGUCCAAGGAAUCAUAAUCAUCACAAUAGAUACUGUGGUUCUAGAUU